rnacentral:RNase_P_RNA from 2 species
GCUUUUGGAUAAUCGCGUACGCUUAGGGUGUAUGAGGAAAGUCCAUGCUAGCACUGGCUGAGAUUGCCAGUAGUGAUUGUGCUAGGCGAAAAAAUAAGCCUAGGGAUAUGGUGACAUAUUACGGCGGACAAAAGGGCUAAGUUGGUAACAAUAAGUCCGAGUCGUCCUUAAGGUGCCACAGAGACGAGGUCUAGCAGAAAUGCUGGACAUGGAACGCGGUAAACCCCUCAAGCUAGCAACCCAAAUUUUGGUCGGGGCAUGGAGAUUGGCGGAAAUACAAGGAACGCACUUUCUCUGACUGGGCAACCAGUAGACAGAUGAUUAUCGAAGGAAACGAGCCCUAGUCGUUUCUGGAACAAAACAUGGCUUAUAGAA